rnacentral:rRNA from 1 species
GACGAACGCUGGCGGCGUGCUUAACACAUGCAAGUCGAACGGAAAGGCCCUGCUUUUGUGGGGUGCUCGAGUGGCGAACGGGUGAGUAACACGUGAGUAACCUGCCCUUGACUUUGGGAUAACUUCAGGAAACUGGGGCUAAUACCGGAUAGGAGCUCCUGCUGCAUGGUGGGGGUUGGAAAGUUUCGGCGGUUGGGGAUGGACUCGCGGCUUAUCAGCUUGUUGGUGGGGUUGUGGCUUACCAAGGCUUUGACGGGUAGCCGGCCUGAGGGGGUGACCGGCCACAUUGGGACUGAGAUACGGCCCAGACUCCUACGGGAGGCAGCAGGGGGGAAUAUUGCACAAUGGGCGGAAGCCUGAUGCAGCAACGCCGCGUGCGGGAUGACGGCCUUCGGGUUGUAAACCGCUUUCGCCUGUGACGAAGCGUGAGUGACGGUAAUGGGUAAAGAAGCACCGGCUAACUACGUG